CUGAACAAUAUGGCAGCUUUGAGUACAGCUCUGCAAUUUGAUUGAGUUUAGAACACUGUUGGGGAAUACAGUGUAGUGAUGUGGGGGGUUGUAUCUUUC